CCCAGAGUCUUACUUCCUUUUUGCCUUUACCUGGACCGAUCCGGACACUAACCUGUCACAACAGUUAACCUGGACAGUCCUGGCCCAGGGCUUUAGGGACAGCCCCCACAUUUUCGGGCAAACAUUAGCGACUGACCUCAGCUCUUGCCCCCUUCAACCCAGUCUCCUUCUCCAGUACGUGGAUGACCUGUUACUUUGUAGCCCCUCCCUAUCCAAACAGCAAACUUUCCC